rnacentral:snoRNA from 1 species
UUACCAAUUCCAUUUUCUCUACCUAAAUGUGUGUUUUGCAGAAAUUUAGAAAAAAACUGGCAAUAGCAAUGCCAUGUUAUAAGCCUUUAGGGGUUAAUGACAUUGAGGUUCCUGAAAAUGUUUAUAACA